GUGCUCACUUCGGCAGCACCUAUACUAAAAAAUGGGAAGGAUAUGGAGACAAUUAGCCUGACCCCUGUGCAAAGAUGACGAGGCAAUUCGUGACACGGUCCAUGGUUUU
ensembl:snRNA U6 U6 spliceosomal RNA